rnacentral:rRNA from 1 species
UACGAAGGGAGCUAGCGUUGUUCGGAAUCACUGGGCGUAAAGCGCACGUAGGCGGAUGUGUCAGUCAGGGGUGAAAUCCCGGAGCUCAACUUCGGAACUGCCUUUGAUACAGCACGUCUUGAGUCCGAUAGAGGUGGGUGGAAUUCCUAGUGUAGAGGUGAAAUUCGUAGAUAUUGGGAAGAACACCGGUGGCGAAGGCGGCUAUCUGGCCCGUAAUUGACGCUGAGGCGCGAAAGCGUGGGGAGCAAACAGG